GUGGAGUCAGAUCAUCAAAAUAUCAUAGUUCACCCUUGCGAUGUUAUGGAGCCUUCCACUCACGGUCCUAUUGUGCUCCUUGUUGACUGUCCAACACCAUCUCAUCUGCAAGAGUUGUCAUCUUUGCAGUCUCUUACUCCGUUUUACUCGAAUAUAUCAGGACAACCUGUCGAACUGUGCAAAAAAGUAAAUUGUUUGAUACACCUUAGCCCUGUGUCAGUAACAAAUACACCCGCGUAUGAGCAAUGGAUGGCCAGAUUUGGUGAAGCCCAUCACAUAAUGGCACGACAUGAGCCGAA
rnacentral:misc_RNA from 1 species